rnacentral:rRNA from 1 species
UACAGAGGUCUCAAGCGUUGUUCGGAAUCACUGGGCGUAAAGGGUGCGUAGGUGGCGUGGUAAGUCAGAUGUGAAAGCCCGGGGCUCAACCUCGGAAUUGCAUCCGAUACUACCAUGCUGGAGUACUGAAGAGGUGACUAGAAUUCUCGGUGUAGCAGUGAAAUGCGUAGAUAUCGAGAGGAAUACCAACGGCGAAGGCAGGUCACUGGGCAGUUACUGACACUGAGGCACGAAGGCCAGGGGAGCAAACGGG